UUCCUCCAAAUAUAUUUGUGAGAAAUCAACUUCAGGAGGCUCACUGGACCCAUCUUCAGGCUGAGACGCAGAUAGAAUUUUAGACAUUAUGGCGUCCGGGACAAAAAGGCUCUCACAUCUAUUUUUUGCCCAUUCUUUUUCUUGUUGUCUCUGAUGGUUUAUGGAAAUAGAUGGGGUCUUGGUGGUUGUGAAGUUGAAGAAGAAGAAGGAGGAGGAGUUUCUACUGUUUCCAAAUAUUUCCUUUUCAAAAAAUUCUCCCCUAUUUUUAUCGCCUCAAUUUUUUGUUCUUUUUUUUUUCCUGUGUAUGUAUAGUGUGAGCUAUAUAUAGAAUUUGUGUUGAUGAAAAAAGAAAAGUCUUAUAUAAAAGAGUUUCUACUGUUUCCAAAUAUUUCCUUUUCAAAAAAUUCUCCCCU
rnacentral:lncRNA from 1 species